GAGAACAGGCUAAUUUGCGCAAGAGUGUACAUAAUGAGUGCGCGGUUUGGCACCUCGAUGUCGGCUUAACUUAUCCUCAUGGAUGCAGCAACUAUGUAGGGUACGACUGUUCGUCGGUUAAAAAGUUACAUGAGCUGGGUUAAAUACGUCGUGAGACAGUAU
rnacentral:ncRNA from 2 species